CCUCAGGAGAGUUUUGGCUGUAGAAUGUAGUUGCAUAGUUUGUAAAUCUAUUUAAUAUUAAGUUUUCAUAAAUUCUUUUAUGAACAGAUUCAAAAAAAAUCCUUCAAUAAACAAAAUAUGCCAUUAUUUCUUCUUUUUUAAAUAAAUAAGAGGAAAUAGAAAAAAAAUACCACAGAACCAGUUCUUUAAAAUUAUUUUAAUACUUAUUUAUUCUUUUUUUAAAAAUUUAAUGUUUAUUUAUUUUUGAAAGAGAGAAAGACAGAGUGCCAGCCAUGGAGGGGGAGAGAGGGAGACACAGAAUCUGAGUAGAGUCUAGGCUCUGAGCUGUCAGCACAGAGCCGUACGCGGGGCUCAAACCCACAAACCCCAAGAUCAUGACCUGAGCUGAAGUCGGACGCUUAACAGACUGAGCCACACAGGUGCCCCGGAGCCAGUUCUUUUAGAUGUCACUUGAUUAUUUAAAACUGGCACCCCAAAUCAGGUGGUUUUGGCCUAAGGAAAUGAGCCAGAAGCCACAUGCAUCUUUUCAUCGGAUCACCAGCAGGUUGCUUCUGAAGACACCUCCGGGCAGGUUGGACACUGCGCGGACCCUCACAGCCUGGGGCAACUGGCUGGUGCUCCUGCCGCGAAGUGAGCCAACACAAACCCAGAAUUACAAACUUCAUCACACGCAAGUGGUCCAGGCAGCAGCUGUUAAAAAUGGCACAGCUAUGAACAAGUGUAAUAGGAAGGACUGAUUGGAUCAUGGUGUGAUAUCAGAGGUCCCGGGACAUGCUACCUUCCAGAAAUGACAGAGACAUUACAAG
rnacentral:lncRNA from 1 species